UCAGUGAGCUUGAAACAAUGGUGAUAAUAAAAGUCUCCCCUUCCACCCUGUGUGCCUCUCUGCUUCUCUCCACUUCUCUCUUUCUGCUAACCAGCGCUACCUGCCUGACCUACCGCAGCGCAUCACGGGGCACAGGGGAAGGUUGAAAUGAGAGGAGAUGGAGGAAGAGGGGAGGAGCAGGCUGAUGGGACAGGACCGUGGGCGAGAAGGGGGGAGGAGAGCAUCACUGGACGCCAAUCAGCACAUCCUCACUCGCCGCCAUUGGCUUGUCUGUCAGCAGUUUUUCCAUUUGAGGUCCCAAAAUGAGGGGAAAACAUGUCUGCAUGGUUCGAGUGUGAGUCAUCUAUAUCCCAGCGAUAUUGUAUGAUGAACCUGAGCGUUACAGGAGCAUGUUGCACGCAUACAGCAGAGCAGACCAUCCCAUCAGUAGAAGUUGAGAGGUGCCACCAUGACCCCAGGCCUACAGGUGGUUGUGAGCCCAGUCCUCCACACGAUGAAGUCCCAGCAGCUGACAAGGCUAUAAGUGUCCCGCAGUCGCCUUGUUCCAACUGACAACUUCAAAGGUUACACAGAAUGGGUGACAACAAAACAUUAUUUUCAGCAUAUGUGUGAUAUGAUGGUGGAGGGGGGGCAGAAAUCCCCCAAAAAUAGAUUGACAAGUUGUCCAGUUUUUUAACCACAUGGCAAAUGUCAGUGCGUGACAUAUAUGGGCUUAUGAAAAUGGCUGGCGAGGCCGGGGAGCAAUGUGAAUCCGAUCAUCCGUCAGACUUUAUUAGCACAACCAGAAAAGACCGAAUGAUUUCCCAUCUCGCCGUGUGACACAUUUGGUCCACAGAUGAGCUCUAUUGUAAAACAAGCCAUUGGAUGUUAACUGAAACCGCAACGCCAAAUAAAAACACGCAGAGACAUAUGAUAUAGGAUACAGUAAAUCCAAAGAGUUUCUUUCUUGAAAAACAUUUUUAUUUUUUCUUUCGUAUACAAAUGUUUACCUUCAACAUGCAUCUAGAUCCAGUAACCUUAGUGAUGGUGUAUUCUGUGCUAUGCCUAGGCUAUGUCCUCUGGAACAGAGGCUAUUUCUCUUAAAGGAGGCAAUAUCAAUAUUUAUAGAGAGAGAGAGAGAGAGAGAGAAAGAGACAGGCUGAGAACAAGUCGAUUGUGCAACAUGUGUUUGUGCGUCUGACACAGGAGGGCAGUCUUUCAACGCUUCCCUCCGACCAGCUCGCUGUUCAGUUGCUCUGCUCUCUCAGGCGUCUGCAAUUCUAACUAUUCUCGAAUAUGAUGUCAAGUGUAUAACUACUGAAUCAUGGGUCAUGAUUUCAUUCCUUCAUCUUCAUCAUCUCAACUCCUGUUUGCCUGAGUCUUUUGACACUUGCUUCCCAACUUUUGCCCAAGUUCAGAAAAGACCCUCCUCCUUUCACCACGACAUCCCCUGUCCCUCCGUCACCCUUUUUUUUUUCCAGCCACGGAUACUUACUUAAAACUCCUGCUUGAGCCGUCAUAAGCGAAUCGGGUCCAGAGUCAAUAUUUAUCCAGGUUGCGCAUGAAACUAUCUGCCAUUUCAGCACCUGCUGAGCCCCUUCGACAAACAGCGUGCACGUCUGAUGCACAUUGAAAUUCCUGUUUCUUCCUUCAUGCGUCCUGCAGUUCAUCCACCUUGUUUCUGUUUCUGUGUGCUAAAGAAAUUCUUCAUUAACUCCUCUAUGUGAACCCCCACUGAUCCGACCCAGGUACCGGGGUGAGGGGGAUUUGGGGGAGUGGGGGUGGUCCUAUAAAGAGGAAGUGGCGGCAAACCCCGGGAAGUGCUGUUGUAUUUGAUGUGUUGUUGAAGUCCCACCCAGCCCCCACCUCCACCUCCGUAUCCACCAUAACCCCCCACCACCCCACCCUUGGCUUUAGCGCCUAUUAAUCAUCCUGUCAGUCCAGCAACACGCACAUUUGCUCUCUCACCACGCACACGUACGCUGUGCGGCAAGACAAACAAAUAAAUAAUGUAGCUCGGUCACUGCCAGGCUACAGGAGUGUAAAGGGGGAAUGAGAAAAUAAUCUCUAUGGAAAUGGCCACGGUGCAGGAGAGCUGCCGGGUUUGUUUGCCACUCGCAGUGUUUGUGCUUGGCUUGUUGAAACCUUUAUUGGCCUUUGUUGUGUGUGAGUGUUUGGUGUUUUAUGGUUUGUUUCAGGCUUACAGUGUAAGUGUGCAGCUUGGCCGAAGUUAUUUCUCUCCUUGUGUUGGGGAAGUCGUCAGCUG
rnacentral:lncRNA from 1 species